rnacentral:rRNA from 1 species
UACGUAGGGGGCAAGCGUUGUCCGGAAUCAUUGGGCGUAAAGAGCGCGCAGGCGGUCCGGUAAGUCCGCUGUGAAAGUCGGGGGCUCAACCCUCGAAUGCCGGUGGAUACUGUCGGGCUAGAGUGCGGAAGAGGCGAGUGGAAUUCCUGGUGUAGCGGUGAAAUGCGCAGAUAUCAGGAGGAACACCGACGGCGAAGGCGGCACUCUGGGACGAUACUGACGCUGAGGAGCGAAAGCGUGGGUAGCAAACAGG